rnacentral:rRNA from 1 species
AGUGAACGCUGGCGGCAUGCCUAACACAUGCAAGUCGAACGAUCUUUGGCAGUUUAUCGUCAGAGGUAGCGGCAAACGGGUGAGUAAUACGUGGACAAUCUUCCCUCGAGCGGGGGAUAACUCCGGGAAACCGGAGCUAAUACCGCGUGAGACCACGUCCUGGCAUCAGGAUGGGGUUAAAGCUCCGCAAGGGGCACUUGAGGAGGGGUUCACGGCCUAUCAGCUAGUUGGCGGGUUAAAGCCCACCAAGGCGACGACGGGUAACCGGUCUGAAAGGACGACCGGUCACAAUGGCACUGAGACACGGGCCAUACUCCUACGGGAGGCAGGCAGUGGGAAUUUUGCUCAAUGGGGGAAACCCUGAAGCAGCGAUGCCGCGUGAGGGACGAAGGUCUUCGGGAUUGUAAAACUCCUUUUGCUGUGAAAAAUAGCGGCGU